UUCGAUGUGGUGCAACGGUUAGCAUACCUCGCUUUCAAGACAGUAGUCAUGGUCCGAGGAGGCCGGGGUUCGACUCCCCGCAUCGAAG